rnacentral:tRNA from 1 species
GGGGGUGUAGCUUAGUAGUAGAGCAUAUGCUUGGUAUGCAUGAGCCCAUGGGUUCAAUUCCUAGUGCCA